rnacentral:rRNA from 1 species
UACGGGGGGCAAGGCGUUGUUCGGAAUUACUGGGCGUAAAGGGCGCGUAGGCGGCCUGCUAAGUCGGGACGUGAAAUCCCUCGGCUCAACCGGGGAACUGCGUCCGAUACUGGUGGGCUCGAAUCCGGGAGAGGGAUGUGGAAUUCCAGGUGUAGCGGUGAAAUGCGUAGAUAUCUGGAGGAACACCGGUGGCGAAGGCGGCAUCCUGGACCGGUAUUGACGCUGAUGGCGCGAAAGCCAGGGGAGCAAACGGG